rnacentral:rRNA from 1 species
AAUGAACGCUGGCGGCAGGCCUAAACCAUGCAAGUCGAACGCCCUAGCAAUAGGGAGUGGCGCACGGGUGCGUAACACGUGGGAAUAUGCCUUUUAGUACGGAACAACGUCUGGAAACGGACGCUAAUACCGUAUGGUCCCUUCGGGGUAAAGAUUUAUCGCCAAAAGAGUAGCCCGCGCUGGAUUAGCUAGUUGGUGAGGUAAUGGCUCACCAAGGCGACGAUCCAUAGCUGGUCUGAGAGGACGAUCAGCCACACUGGGACUGAGACACGGCCCAGACUCCUACGGGAGGCAGCAGUUAGGAAUAUUGGACAAUGGGCGCAAGCCUGAUCCAGCCAUGCCGCGUGAGCGAUGAAGGCCUUCGGGUUGUAAAGCUCUUUAGCCGAUGAUUAUAAUGACUGUAGUCGGAAAAUAAGCCCCGGCUAACUUCGUGCCAGCAGCCGCAGUAA